rnacentral:lncRNA from 1 species
UCGGGCGACGCAUGUGCGAUUCCGCAGAGAGAACUGGAGAGUUGAUUUCUUGCUCUUCGGCCACUGUGGUUACAGUGGUAGAGGCAGAUGAGGAGCUUUCUGCUGCGCUGUCUGAAACUUCAAGAUCCAUUGCUUCAAGAGGAGAGGUAUCUGCUCGAUCUUGAUCUUCAAGAGAAGUUCUUAAUUCAAAUGGAGUGCUGCUUUAUAUAUGUUUAUAGUCAAUACUUUUUGCCAAACGGAUUUACUUGUAUAAUAUUAACUGAUUAUUUAGUUGCUAUAAUAUUAACUGAUUUAGUUGCUAUAAUAUUAAAUAUUAACUGAUUUAGUUGCUAUAAUAUUAUAAUUUUAAAGUUGGAAUGUAGAUUUUGUUAUUUUUUCAUAUAUUGCAAUAAACUUAUACAUCAAUUUAGGAUUAGAUUUUGUAGAAGCUAAUAAGAUUUUUUUUUUAUAAAUUACUUUAUUAACAGAUUUAUUUUAUUUUAUUUUUAUAUUUUUCUUCUAAAAGUGUUUUUUUGGAACAAAUUCAAUUAAUUAUAGAAGUUUUUUAUAUUAAUUUUUACAUGAGUUAUGACUAAAUUUAAUUUUGUUUCUUUUGUUCUCUACACAUGUUAAACAUGGAGAGAGGUUUAUUGAAACAUUCUCACAACUACUCUUUGAUAUAUGCAAAUAUUUUCAAAUUUUGUAUUUGAUAAGCGUAUAAUUUUAAUAAUAUUUCAUAUUAAAAUAUAGACAUUUAAAUAUAUUAAUUGUUAAGAUAAGUAUAAAAUAACUUUUAAUUUAUGAAUUUAUAAUUUUUUACAUUUUUUUUAUGAUCUUUAAUUGAAUAUAAAAGUAUUUUAUUCUCAAAUUUGGUGUUAAUGACAGGUUUGUAUAAAAGAAUAGAGAUUUGGACUAAAGAAUAAUGAUAUAUGCUAAAAGGAGAAAGUUGGAAGGUCCAGAACACACAAAAGAGAGGAAAAAGUCCAACUCAACCGCGAGAAUACGUCAGAUUAAUUGUGUUAUUUUUAUGUUUUUAUCAUUAAGCCUAUCAGUGCGAUGCAGGAAGUCACCUAACCCUAGCAAAUUAAGUUAAAUAGGGGCUAGAGGCACAAUCCUUGUGUGCAAGAUUGAUAUGAUAUAAUAUUAUUUCUUGAUUGAGUAUUGAUAUUGUUGUUUUGUUUUUAAAUAAUUGUGAUAUGUUUGAGAAUCUUAAAUUUAAC